CAAUCGGAGGCUGGCCUGGGGAGGGAGCGUGAAAGGAUGAAUGAAAAGUCCGGAGCCGGAGCGCGCCCGGGCCAGAGCGGCGGCCGCGGCGGAGGAGGGAGCUGGGGAGGCGAGGCCCGCUCGGCCCCGCUCACCGCGGCUCGGCGGAGGCUGAGAUCCGCGCUGAGCCCUGGCACCGCAGACCCCGGGCCACGGCUCUCCGUAGCGGGAGCGCGCCGGGAGGACCGCGCUGGAGAGCACGAUGGGCGCCCUGGGCUCGAUCUUCUCACCUGGGGCGGGUGGGUGCGCCACCACCCUCCCGCCCUCUUUCCUCCACGCGUGAGCCAGAGCCGCAUCCAGCACCACGGACAGCUCCCGGGUGCCAGGAGAUUCCAUGAUCCUGCCCAUUCCUGUCUUGGGAAGUCCUUGCCAGUGUCUGGCCCUGAUGUGUGCCCAAGCACCUGUUCUUCGACCCUUGGCUUGACAUGACUACUUUGAGAAGUGAGGAACACACUGCCACACAGAUGCAGUCACUUCAUUGGGCUUCCUGGACUCCAGCUGUUGGCACUUGGCCAGCUUGGUGAGGUCCUGGAGCCCCUUCGAGACUUGGGGACCCAAGUCUAAGAUCUGUUGUUUAGAGGGGCGCCCGGCCGGCUCAGUCCGUAGAACGUGUGGCUCUCAAUCUCAGGGUCAUGAGUUCAAGCCCCACGUUGGGCGUGGAGCCUACUUACAAUAAUAAUAAUAAUAAUAAUAAUAAUAAUAAUAAUAAUAAUAAUAAAUAAAUAAAUAAAAUCUUGCUUAGACAAGGGGAGUCUGUGUCACAAAAUGCUUUGAAAUUCCCCUUGCCCCCAUCCCCACCCAAAGAGAGAAGCCCGAACCAGAGGCCACUGGAAAGUGAUAGUGUCCCAGGCCCUCAGGGUUGGUGGGGGGGUCCCCUAGGAAGGCAGUCUCCCUGCUCCCAGCAUUCGGGAGGUUCUGACAGGGUCCCUGAGAGAUCCUGAGAUGGUGAGGACUCCCUCCCUCUGGAGCUCAAGCAGAAGGCAGAGGAUGGUCACCUUGACCCAGAGGGGCAUCCCGAAGGGGCACUGAGCAGGGUCUAGCUUUGCCGGGGGAAUCCUGAAUGAGGGGCAGGUGGAGAGAGAGAAAGGAGGCCAUUCUCCACUGAGGCAGGGUGGGCUGGCAGGGAGGGGCUGGGGAUGAUUUACGACAUCAUUGUUUCCCCGCCCCCCACUACUGGACGGUUGCUAGGAGAUGCUGGCUAUCUGUGUCUGGGCGGGAGGGUGAGGCUGCUCCAUCUGGACCCCUCCUCCCCUCCUCUGAGCUUCACCCAUUACCCCUCCCCAGACCCCGACACACCUUCCCUUCUGUUGGCCCCCAAAUCCAGCCAGCCUGGGGCUCAUGGGGCUCCCAGGCCGGCUGAGGAUCUGGGACCAGGAAGCCAACCGGGAGCCCUGGAGGGAGAGGCCAGCAGACUCAGCUGGGGUGCUGAGGAGUGGCCGGCUCACCUCAGGGCCUCUGGGAGCCAGGGCAGGAUGAGGGCCAAGGGAAGUCGGGGCCUCGAGGAACCCAGGUUUGAGGUAGACUGAGUCCAGUGUGAUGGGUGAGGCAGACCCCAAUCACACCCCUCCACAGUACAGCCCAAGUCAAGGUUAGCGGGCUGUAAAGGCCAGGUUUGGGGUCAUGGGGUGGAGAACUGAGGGCAGGGGAGAAUAAGGCUGGACCAUCUGAUCUGAGCAGAGGUACGCCGUGUCGGGGCAUGGCUCAGAUCCCUUCCUCUUCCGGAGAUUCUCUCUUCAGAUUUCAAAGCCCUUGGAGAAGUCAGAUGGGUGAACUUUAGGGACUCCUAAAGCUGCUGGCUCCCAAGUCCUGCGGGGAAGGAGAGGGACGCGUGCCCACAGAGGUGCUCCUGAUACCAGAGCCCACCUGGAUUCGGCACCCGCUUGCUCAUGCGAGCCCCCUCUCUCAGCCAUGUUCUCCAUCAGUCUUCCAACAGGCCUGGAAACUGGCUUGUACUGUCCUGCACUUUGUAAAGGGGCAGUCAAGGCCUGACAAAGGACAUGUGACUUGCCCAGAGUCAGGGGUUAGUAAGCUGGGCCUGGGGCUUCAGAUGAGGCCUGGUGGGUCCUCUGCACACGCUGCCUCCCUCCCCUGUGGCUCCCGCAGAACAAGUUCCUAACACACUGGGAGCGACUGAGGGGCAGGAGCAGAUGGGCGGGGGCCUAGCAGACCAUGUUCAGGUACGAAGCCGGAGGGAUGCUAACACCGUCCUUGUGGGUGAAGACAGGACCGGGGAAGAGGCUACAGUUGCUGCAGAAGCCACUGGAAUCCUCCCAGGUUGGUCCCCGGCCAAGGGAAGCAUGUUCCCCACCUUCGGCCAAGUCCCCUGGGCCACCGCCUCAUCUCUCACCUGCUGGGGAUCUGAGUUCCCCGUCCUGUCAUGGCCCUGGGUAGAGCUCCUGGAAGAGAUGCCUAGACUCAGCCCUUUAUCAUGGAGCCUUCCAGCCCUUGCCUUUCUGGUGGAGGGGAGCCCCAAGGGCCGCUGGACGAACUCCCCGGAAUUCUGUCCUCUGCCUCCUGCCAAGGUCUCCAUCCAAAG